GCUUGUUUAGAUUGGAGAAGAGAAGGCUCCAGGGAGACUUCAUUGUGGCCUUUCAGUACUUGAAGGGAGCGUACAAACAGGAGCGGGAAAGGCUGUUUAUGAGGGUGGAUGGUGAUAGGACAAGGGGGAAUGGUUUUAAACUGAGACAGGGGAGGUUUAGGUUGGAUAUGAGGAGGAAGUUUUUCACCCAGAGGGUGGUGACGCACUGAACAGGUUGCCCAAGGAGGCUGUGGAUGCCCCAUCCCUGCAGGCAUUCAAGGCCAGGCUGGAUGUGGCUCUGGGCAGCCUGGGCUGCUGGUUGGCGACCCUGCACAUAGCAGGGGGUUGGAACUGGAUGAGCACUGUGGUCCUUUUCAACUCAGGCCAUUCUAUGGUUCUAUGAAAAGAAGCAUGAGGUGUGACUCACCCGAGCAACCCAACUAACACUGCCUGCAGUCACAGAUGACAGCAAAAGCCACACAUCCCCUCUCCACCUGCCCCAGAAGCAGGCUGUGAGCUACAGAGGGAAUGAGACACAAGAUCAUCCUUAGCAAGCAGAAUAAAAGCACCUUUAUCUGUCAGUGGGUGCACUCACUGCUGCAUAGUGGGGAUCUCUCGCUGCUGGGGGAGCAGAACCGGGGCAGACAUUGCUCCAGCUCCAAGCAGGGCAAGCCACAGCCCCAAGGCUUCCUCCUGCCAGCACUGAGCAGCUGCCUGUAAGAGAGCAGUCAGCAGCGGGAGCCCAGCUAAGAGCAGCAAGGUGAGACGAGCACCAGGCCAGGAUUUCCCCUGCAACACUCUGAAAUCCUCCUGCUCAAGGAAACAAACCUAAUUAGCCAGUGCUAAAACAAAUCCGAGGUGGGCUGGGAAGGCAAACCAUGCUGCUCAGCUACAUACAAGCCAGCAAGCAGUGCCCUCCGGAAAGCGGAUAUUAACAAAUACAACAAAGAAAGAUCAUACAAAUUGCAACUACGCACUAAAGGAAUGAUUACAGAUUUAAAAAAAAUACAUUUAAAUUAUCGUCCCCAUUUUUGUUCUUUAACUUUUACAUCCC
ensembl:lncRNA